rfam:Myotis davidii contig207185, whole genome shotgun sequence.
AGAGGUUCUCAGGUGAUGCACCCGGAAUCAGGCUCCUUCUUCUGUGGUUCCAGGUGCAUCUCCCGAGUACCGCA